rfam:Danio rerio chromosome 4, GRCz11 reference primary assembly.
GCCUCAUUGGCGCAGUAGGCAGCGCGUCAGUCUCAUAAUCUGAAGGUUGUGAGUUUAAGCCUCACACGGGGCA